GGGUCAGUAGGUUGGUCGUGCCACCGGUACGUACUGGCCUCACUGAUUCCUCCUUCCUGAAGAACCGUAAUGCCAUUAAUUUGGUGUUGCGGGGAAACAGGACUGUUACUUUGAAAAAAUUAGAGUGUUUAAAGCAAGCUAACGCUUGAAUACAUUAGCAUGGAAUAAUGAAAUAGGACGAUCGAUCCUAUAUUGUUGGUUUCUAGGAUUGACGUA
rnacentral:rRNA from 1 species